CCUACGGGGGGCAGCAGUGGGGAAUAUUGCACAAUGGGGGAAACCCUGAUGCAGCGACGCCGCGUGAGCGAAGAAGUAUUUCGGUAUGUAAAGCUCUAUCAGCAGGGAAGAAAAUGACGGUACCUGAGUAAGAAGCUCCGGCUAAAUACGUGCCAGCAGCCGCGGUAAUACGUAUGGAGCAAGCGUUAUCCGGAUUUACUGGGUGUAAAGGGAGCGCAGGCGGCCUUGCAAGUCUGAUGUGAAAUACCGGGGCUCAACCCCGGAGCUGCAUUGGAAACUGUGAGGCUGGAGUGUCGGAGAGGCAGGCGGAAUUCCUAGUGUAGCGGUGAAAUGCGUAGAUAUUAGGAGGAACACCAGUGGCGAAGGCGGCCUGCUGGACGAUGACUGACGCUGAGGCUCGAAAGCGUGGGGAGCAAACAGGAUUAGAUACCCCAGUAG
rnacentral:rRNA from 1 species